rnacentral:rRNA from 1 species
UACAGGGGGUGCAAGCGUUGUCCGGAAUUAUUGGGCGUAAAGAGCUCGUAGGCGGUCUGUCGCGUCUGCUGUGAAAUCCCGGGGCUCAACUCCGGGCUUGCAGUGGAUACGGGCAGACUAGAGUUCGGUAGGGGAGACUGGAAUUCCUGGUGUAGCGGUGAAAUGCGCAGAUAUCAGGAGGAACACCGGUGGCGAAGGCGGGUCUCUGGGCCGAUACUGACGCUGAGGAGCGAAAGCGUGGGGAGCGAACAGG